AAACCAGACUCCUACGGGAGGCAGCAGUGGGGAAUAUUGCACAAUGGGGGAAACCCUGAUGCAGCGACGCCGCGUGAGUGAAGAAGUAAUUCGUUAUGUAAAGCUCUAUCAGCAGGGAAGAAAAUGACGGUACCUGAGUAAGAAGCCCCGGCUAACUACGUGCCAGCAGCCGCGGUAAUACGUAGGGGGCAAGCGUUAUCCGGAUUUACUGGGUGUAAAGGGGGCGCAGACGGCGAUGCAAGCCAGGAGUGAAAGCCCGGGGCCCAACCCCGGGACUGCUCUUGGAACUGCGUGGCUGGAGUGCGGGAGGGGCAGGCGGAAUUCCUGGUGUAGCGGUGAAAUGCGUGGAUAUCAGGAGGAACACCAGUGGCGAAGGCGGCUUACUGGACUGUAACUGACGUUGAGGCUCGAAAGCGUGGGGAGCAAACAGGAUUAGAUACCCCAGUAU
rnacentral:rRNA from 1 species